AAGCUGAGGGAGCAACCUUUGACAGCCCAGAGGAACAUCCUGAAUAUCAAUGUGGAGAUAUAGAAGAUCUUAAGCUGAAAAUCAUAAAAGAAGCAAUCAAACUUCAAAUGGUGCUGCAAACAAAGCCACACAUGGACAUGCCAUUCUUCCAAGAAGCCUUAGAUCAACCUCAGGAGGAGCCCCAACUGCAGCCCCCCAACACGACGCCCCUUUUCAGCAGGAAGUAGCCAGAAAGAAUCGUCGUCCAACACCCCCUAACAGCAGUUAUGGUUACGUCUCCUGAGGGAGGAAAUAAUACAGGAGUUAUUAAGAAAUUAUUUUUAGGCAGCUAGAAAGGGUAAAAAUUCUCAGUGGAAUUUUCCUUUAAUAAAAAGCAGCCCCAAACCAUUUCUUCUCUAACAGAAAGCAGCCUGAAAACUCAGGCAUAGAUAUGCAGACUAGAAGCUUUUAUAUGUAAAUGCUGGCAGCUGUACCUGGAAGUCAGGUACAUCCAAUAUGGCGGUUCCCACUCUCUUUUCCUUGUCACCACGUUUACAGGUGUCAUGGCAGCCUCCAGGUAAAACCACAUGUACAGGUAUCCUGUCCACCACCAGUUAGAGACCGUAUUUGAAUAAUAAAAGACUAGGGUGGGAGAGUCAGUCUUUUCGUGGGCUAUGUAAAUGACACAACUGGUCAAACCAAUUCCCUGAGCGCUGUGUAAAUCAAUCACCGCCUCCUCAACCUCUGUACAAAACCGACUGCAUUCCACCACAAACCGCAGACCCUCUUUUGGGCAACCCACUUUCUGAGCAUGAGGAAGGAUUUUUUCUCUCUCUUCUUUUCUAUUAAACUUUCCACUCCCAAACCCA